rnacentral:rRNA from 1 species
AUUGAACGCUGGCGGCAUGCCUUACACAUGCAAGUCGAACGGUAACAGGUCUUCGGAUGCUGACGAGUGGCGAACGGGUGAGUAAUACAUCGGAACGUGCCCGAGAGUGGGGGAUAACGAGGCGAAAGCUUUGCUAAUACCGCAUACGAUCUCAGGAUGAAAGCAGGGGACCGCAAGGCCUUGCGCUCACGGAGCGGCCGAUGGCAGAUUAGGUAGUUGGUGGGAUAAAAGCUUACCAAGCCGACGAUCUGUAGCUGGUCUGAGAGGACGACCAGCCACACUGGGACUGAGACACGGCCCAGACUCCUACGGGAGGCAGCAGUGGGGAAUUUUGGACAAUGGGCGCAAGCCUGAUCCAGCCAUGCCGCGUGCAGGAUGAAGGCCUUCGGGUUGUAAACUGCUUUUGUACGGAACGAAAAGACUCUGGUUAAUACCUGGGGUCCAUGACGGUACCGUAAGAAUAAGCACCUGCAAACUACGUGCCAGCCGCCGCAGUAAAAC